GUUUCUGUAGUGCAGUGGUUAUCACAUUCGCAUAACACGCGGAAGGUCGCAGAUUCGAACCCUGCCAGAGACA